GUCUAUGGCCGUUCCACCCUGAACAAGCUCGAUCCUGUCUGAUCUCAGAAGCUAAGCAAAGUCAGGCCUGGUUAGUAUACUUGAAUGGGAGACCACCUAGGAAGACCAGGUGCUGUAGGCG
ensembl:rRNA 5S_rRNA 5S ribosomal RNA